UCCGCGAAUAGCAUUUAUUAUUCAUAACAAAUAGAUGCAUUCUUUUUCUGUGCUAAAAUGAUUCUUUGCAACAAUUAAUUAGGGGCUGAUAAACGUGCAAAAUAAUACUGAAUUUGAUCAAGAUGGCACUUAUCAUUUACUUAGAAUUGAAAUAUUGCGAUAACUUAUCAGAUUAUUGAAAAAUAGAUUUUCCGACAUAUGCAGCUGUAUAUACUGGUAUCGUUACAUACAUGGUUUGAAAAUUAAAAAAAAUAUAUUGAAACGAAAAAAUUGAAAAUGAACAAUGUUAUGCCAUAAGGCAACCAAAACAAGAAAAAAAACCGGAACAACAGGCCUAUGUACAUGUUUACACUAGUCAAUUUGGGGCCUACUAUAGCUUCCUGUUCAGUGAGAGAAAGCACUUCGUGUUGAAGGCUGUACUUGCGUAUUCUAUUAAAACCCUAAUACCUUUGAUAACUAUGUACUCAUCUGGGUCGAUGCUACUGAUGGUGGACGUUUUGUCCCCGAGGGUAUCACCAGCCCAGUAGUCAGCACUGCGGUGAAGAAAUGUAAAAUUGCAGAAUUAUGAAUUAUUCGAA
rnacentral:lncRNA from 1 species